rnacentral:rRNA from 1 species
GACGAACGCUGGCGGCGUGCCUAAUACAUGCAAGUCGAACGCAUUUUCUUUCACCGUAGCUUGCUACACCGAAAGAAAAUGAGUGGCGAACGGGUGAGUAACACGUGGGUAACCUGCCCAUCAGCGGGGGAUAACACUUGGAAACAGGUGCUAAUACCGCAUAAUUCCAUUUACUGCAUGGUAGAUGGAUGAAAGGCGCUUUUGCGUCACUGAUGGAUGGACCCGCGGUGCAUUAGCUAGUUGGUGGGGUAACGGCCUACCAAGGCUGCGAUGCAUAGCCGACCUGAGAGGGUGAUCGGCCACACUGGGACUGAGACACGGCCCAGACUCCUACGGGAGGCAGCAGUAGGGAAGCUUCGGCAAUGGACGCAAGUCUGACCGAGCAACGCCGCGUGAGUGAAGAAGGUUUUCGGAUCGUAAAACUCUGUUGUUAGAAAAGAACAAGGAUGAGAGUGGAAAGUUCAUCCCUUGACGGUAUCUAACCAGAAAGCCACGGCUAACUACGUG